rnacentral:rRNA from 1 species
UAAUACGGAGGGUGCGAGCGUUGUCCGGAAUCACUGGGCGUAAAGGGCGCGUAGGCGGCCUGGUAAGUAGGGGGUGAAAUCCUGCGGCUUAACCGCAGGGCUGCCUUCUAAACUGUCAGGCUGGAGCACAGUAGAGGCAGGUGGAAUUCCCGGUGUAGCGGUGGAAUGCGUAGAGAUCGGGAAGAACAUCAGUGGCGAAGGCGGCCUGCUGGGCUG